rnacentral:rRNA from 1 species
AACGAACGCUGGCGGCAUGCCUAACACAUGCAAGUCGAACGAGACCUUCGGGUCUAGUGGCGCACGGGUGCGUAACGCGUGGGAACCUGCCCUUAGGUUCGGAAUAACUCCCCGAAAGGGGUGCUAAUACCGGAUAAUGUCUUCGGACCAAAGAUUUAUCGCCUUUGGAUGGGCCCGCGUUGGAUUAGCUAGUUGGUAGGGUAAAAGCCUACCAAGGCGACGAUCCAUAGCUGGUCUGAGAGGAUGGUCAGCCACACUGGGACUGAGACACGGCCCAGACUCCUACGGGAGGCAGCAGUGGGGAAUAUUGGACAAUGGGCGAAAGCCUGAUCCAGCACUGCCGCGUGAGUGAUGAAGGCCUUAGGGUUGUAAAGCUCGUUUACCCGGGAUGAUAAUGACAGUACCGGGAGAAUAAGCUCCGGCUAACUCCGUG